rnacentral:rRNA from 1 species
UACGAAGGGUGCAAGCGUUACUCGGAAUUACUGGGCGUAAAGCGUGCGUAGGUGGUUUGUUAAGUCUGUUGUGAAAGCCCCGGGCUCAACCUGGGAAUGGCAAUGGAUACUGGCAGGCUAGAGUGCGGUAGAGGGUAGUGGAAUUCCCGGUGUAGCGGUGAAAUGCGUAGAGAUCGGGAGGAACACCAGUGGCGAAGGCGGCUACCUGGACCAGCACUGACACUGAGGCACGAAGCGUGGGAGCAAACAGG